AACGAACGCUGGCGGCAUGCCUAACACAUGCAAGUCGAACGAGACCUUCGGGUCUAGUGGCGCACGGGUUCGUAACGCGUGGGAACCUGCCCUUAGGUUCGGAAUAACUCCCCGAAAGGGGUGCUAAUACCGGAUAAUGUCUUCGGACCAAAGAUUUAUCGCCUUUGGAUGGGCCCGCGUUGGAUUAGCUAGUUGGUAGGGUAAAAGCCUACCAAGGCGACGAUCCAUAGCUGGUCUGAGAGGAUGAUCAGCCACACUGGGACUGAGACACGGCCCAGACUCCUACGGGAGGCAGCAGUGGGGAAUAUUGGACCAUGGGCGAAAGCCUGAUCCAGCAAUGCCACGUGAGUGAUGAAGGCCUUAGGGUUGUAAAGCUCUUUUACCCGGGAUGAUAAUGACAGUACCGGGAGAAUAAGCCCCGGCUAACUCCGUG
rnacentral:rRNA from 1 species